AACGAACGCUGGCGGCAUGCCUAACACAUGCAAGUCGAACGAGACCUUCGGGUCUAGUGGCGCACGGGUGCGUAACGCGUGGGAACCUGCCCUCAGGUUCGGAAUAACUCCCCGAAAGGGGUGCUAAUACCGGAUAAUGUCUUCUGACCAAAGAUUUAUCGACCUUGGAUGUGCCCGCGUUGGAUUAGCUAGUUGGUAGGGUAAAAGCUUACCAAGGCGAGGAUGCAUAGCUGGGUUGAGAGGCUGGUCAGCAACACCGGGAGUAGGACACGGCCCAGAAUCCUACGGGAGGCAGCAGUGGGGAAUAGUGGAAAAUGGGCGAAAGCAUGAUGCAGCAAUGCCGCGUGAGUGAUGAAGUCCUUAAGGUUGUAAAGCGCUUUUACCCGGGAUGAUCAUGACGGUACCGGGAGAAUAAGCUCCGGCUAACUACGUG
rnacentral:rRNA from 1 species